UACAGAGGGUGCAAGCGUUGUUCGGAAUUAUUGGGCGUAAAGCGCGUGUAGGCGGCUUUUGCAAGUCGGGUGUGAAAGCCCUCAGCUCAACUGAGGAAGUGCGCCCCGAAACUGCAGAGCUUGAGUACCGGAGAGGAUGGCGGAAUUCCCCAAGUAGAGGUGAAAAUUCGUAGAUAUGGGGAGGAACACCGGUGGCGAAGGCGGGCCAUCUGGACGGUCACUGACGCUGAGACGCGAAAAGCGUGGGUAGCAAACAGG
rnacentral:rRNA from 1 species